rnacentral:rRNA from 1 species
GACGAACCCUGGCGGCGUGCCUAAUACAUGCAAGUAGAACGCACAGUUUAUACCGUAGCUUGCUACACCAUAGACUGUGAGUUGCGAACGGGUGAGUAACGCGUAGGUAACCUGCCUGGUAGCGGGGGAUAACUAUUGGAAACGAUAGCUAAUACCGCAUAAUAUUAAUUAUUGCAUGAUAAUUAAUUGAAAGGUGCAAUUGCACCACUACCAGAUGGACCUGCGUUGUAUUAGCUAGUAGGUGAGGUAACGGCUCACCUAGGCGACGAUACAUAGCCGACCUGAGAGGGUGAUCGGCCACACUGGGACUGAGACACGGCCCAGACUCCUACGGGAGGCAGCAGUAGGGAAUCUUCGGCAAUGGACGAAAGUCUGACCGAGCAACGCCGCGUGAGUGAAGAAGGUUUUCGGAUCGUAAAGCUCUGUUGUAAGAGAAGAACGGGUGUGAGAGUGGAAAGUUCACACUGUGACGGUAUCUUACCAGAAAGGGACGGCUAACUACGUG